rnacentral:rRNA from 1 species
UACGUAGGGGGGCAAGCGUUGUCCGGAAUCAUUGGGCGUAAAGAGCUCGUAGGCGGCUUGUCGCGUCGGAUGUGAAAGCCCGGGGCUUAACUCCGGGUCUGCAUUCGAUACGGGCAGGCUAGAGUUCGGUAGGGGAGAUCGGAAUUCCUGGUGUAGCGGUGAAAUGCGCAGAUAUCAGGAGGAACACCGGUGGCGAAGGCGGAUCUCUGGGCCGAUACUGACGCUGAGGAGCGAAAGCGUGGGGAGCGAACAGG